GUUUUGUUUUAGUUUUUUGUAUAUAUAUAUGUAGUUCUUAUAGCAUUUAUUUAAUUUUCAAUUCAGGUUCCACUCAUAAAAUAAUUCCUCAAUAAAUCAAAAAUGAAAUUUCAUUUACAAAUCAGUUCUCUUAAAAUUAAUAUAUCAAUUCAGUUCUUGAUAUCUAUAUUUCCCCUCAUAUUUCAGAUCCUAAUUCAGUUAAUAAAUGGAUUAAGAACUAAAAUAAGAUAGAAAAAUAUUAAUAUCAAGAACUGAACUAUUGUGAACUGAUUUAAAACUGAGAAAAUUAACUAAUCACCCCAUAAGCAAAAUCAAAAAUUAGAAAUUAAAUCAAUGCCAUAAGAACUGCACAAAAGCUGAAGUAGAACUGAUUUAUAACUUAUAUAUACUCCGGUACUUACUCUUAAUCAAUAGAUUUGCUAAUGAACCGCCUCCACACCUCUGGAAGCACUCAACUUGCUUCUCCACACAAAGCCGUUCAUGUUUUGGGUUGGAUUUAGCAGAAGUUAAAUCAACCCAAGAACAUAUUGUUACUGCGCUUAAAAGGCUAGGAUGGAGAACUGAGCCAAAAAGUUUUUCGCUUUUAAGAGAUAAAUGUCACUCACUUGAAGAAUCUGAUGCUUUCAAAAACAAGGCAGCAACUAAAAUGAAGGUUACGGAUAAAGAAUGAUAAAGGUGGCAAGUCUAGGGUUUUUCUAUUAUUUUUUUAUGUAAUUUUUACUGGGAAAAUCAAGUUUGUAUGUAAAUGAAUUUUUUAAAGUACUGUUACUUUUAUUAAGUAAAAAAAUGUUAUUCAUACUAUAAAAUAUACUUAUUCUAAUGUUUUUAAUACUUAAAUUUUGUAUAUACAUUUUUGUUUCUUGUUAAUCGUUGAGAUUAUUUACCAGGUAUAAAUUUGUUCAUAAGAGUUAUUAAGUAGUGUGUUAAAGUAGACAAAUAAAUUGUUUACAUUACAACACCUAUUUUUAUUUAAACAAAAUGCUUAAAACAACUUGGUAGGAAAACAUCUUUGUAAAUCAGCAAUAAGUGCAAUAACGAGACUUGUCUUUUUCGUUGAAGAGUGUAUAAUUAGGAAAUCAGUGCAAAAGUUUAAAAAGAUUCGGCGAAGCGAGUUUCGCUGCAGUAGUAUCAAACAAAUUUGGCAAGAGAUAUCGAUUCCAUUAAAUCUUCUGGAUAUCGAUUCUUUUAUUGGUGAACUUGGAGAAUUAAUGUUUUCACCUCGAACCGUAGAUAACCUGAACGAUGUGACAUUGUUGUAAUGUAAAUUACAACAACAAUAUAUAUUUUGUAU
rnacentral:misc_RNA from 1 species